GAUGAACGCUGGCGGCGUGCUUAAUACAUGCAAGUCGAGCGGAAACACUUCGGGUGUCGAGCGGCGGACGGCUGAGUAACACGUAGGAACGUACCCCAAACUGAGGGAUAACUGCUCGAAAGAGUAGCUAAUACCGCAUGUGAUCUUCGGAUUAAAGCUUCGGCGGUUUGGGAACGGCCUGCGCAUGAUUAGCUUGUUGGUGAGGUAAUGGCUCACCAAGGCAACGAUCAUUAGCUGGUCUGAGAGGAUGACCAGCCAGACUGGGACUGAGACACGGCCCAGACUCCUACGGGAGGCAGCAGUAGGGAAUUUUCCACAAUGGACGAAAGUCUGAUGGAGCAACGCCGCGUGCAGGAUGAAGGCUCUAGGGUCGUAAACUGCUUUUAUAGGUGAAGAUUAUGACGGUAACCUAUGAAUAAGGAUCGGCUAACUCCGUGCCAGCAGCCGCGGUCAUACGGGGGAUCCAAGCGUUAUCCGGAAUUACUGGGCGUAAAGAGUUGUGUAGGCGGCAUAUUAAGUAGGUAGUGAAAUGAUGAGGCUCAACCUCAUGUCCAUUACCUAAACUGCUAAGCUAGAGGACCAGAGAGGUCCCUGGAAUUUCUAGUGUAGGGAGUGAAUCCGAAGAUAUUAGAAGGAACACCGAUGGCGUAGGCAGGCGACUGGCUCCUACCUGACGCUCACACACGAAAGCGUGGGGAGCGACCGGGAUUAGAUACCCCGUUAGUCCACGCCGUAAACGAUGGAUGCUAGUUGUUAGACGUAUCGACCCGUUUAGUAACGAAGCUAACGCGUUAAGCAUCCCGCCUGUGGAGUACGGCCGCAAGGCUAAAACAUAAAGGAAUUGACGGGGACCCGCACAAGCGGUGGAGCGUGUUGUUUAAUUCGAUGGUAAGCGAAGAACCUUACCACGGUUUGACAUCCUGCCAAGGUUUCCGAAAGGAGACUGUGCCUUCGGGCCGCAGGGACAGGUGCUGCAUGGCCGUCGUCAGCUCGAGACGCGAGAUGCUUGGCUAAGUCCCUCAACGAGCGCAUCCCCCGUAGCCUGAUGCAUUUUACAGGGCAGACUGCCCCGGUAACGGGGAGGAAGGAGGGGAAGAUGACACGUCAGUAUCGCCCUUACCCCCUGGGCUACACACCCCCUACCAAUGGCCGGUACAAAGGGCAGCCACGCCCCGAGACGGAGCAAAUCCCCAUCAAGCCGGGCCCCGUCUGGAAAGCACGGCGGAAACCCCCCCUGCUUAAACCGGAGAACCCAGGAACGGUCGCCCACCAACCAACCGGGGAAAUACUCCCGGGGCCU
rnacentral:rRNA from 1 species